rnacentral:rRNA from 1 species
GACGAACGCUGGCGGCGUGCCUAAUACAUGCAAGUAGAACGCUGAAGAGAGGAGCUUGCUCUUCUUGGCUGAGUUGCGAACGGGUGAGUAACGCGUAGGUAACCUGCCUUGUAGCGGGGGAUAACUAUUGGAAACGAUAGCUAAUACCGCAUAACAAUGGAUGACACAUGUCCUUUAUUUGAAAGGGGCAAUUGCUCCACUACAAGAUGGACCUGCUUUGUAUUAGCUAGUAGGUGAGGUAAUGGCUCACCUAGGCGACGAUACAUAGCCGACCGGAGAGGGUGAUCGGCCACACUGGGAGUGAGACACGGCCCAGACGCCUACGGGAGGCAGCAGUAGGAAAUCUUCGGCAAUGGGGGCAACCCUGACCGAGCAACGCCGCGUGAGUGAAGAAGGUUUUCGGAUCGGAAAGCUCUGUUGUAAGUCAAGAACGGGUAUGAGAGUGGAAAGUUCACACUGUGACGGUAGCUUACCAGAAAGGGACGGCUAACUACGUG